UCAAACGAACCAUCUCAGGUUUAACCACAAACCCAAAAUUAUGCGAAAUAAAGCUUUAUUAUUUGAUUUGAAAUCGAAGACGCGGUAUCGUUUUACCCCAUUCGCUCUUCCACUCACACUACUCUGAUCCAAAUCGGGCUACACCUGCAUGAUGCAGAGCAUUGAUGCGAACAUUGGGGAAACUGUCAAAAUUGAUGAUGAUAUUUUCAUCCAUCUGAAUGGAUGAAUGAAUCAUCCUCAAAAUAUAAAUAAAAACAAAACAGUUCGCGAAAUCGGUUCGCAAACUGUUUUUAUUAUUCCGUUUACGGUCGGUCCCGGAGUAGUGGAACCACUCACGCGAACGAAGUGUCCCCGGCGAAGAGGGGAAAGAUCUCCUUUUCUUCACCCACGUCACCCCGGAAAUUGCGUACUAAUUCCCUCCGAGACGACCGCUCAUGCGACAAAAUUCCCCGAAGACGCCGCUGCCGCUGGACACCCGAAAGAUCCGAAUCAGGAGAGAUAAAAAUGCUUCGAGAUAGCAACUCAAAAUCCAGCUCAUCGAAAUGCAAAUGAUCGACGCGCAUGAACACACACGCUUGGUUGAAUUUCUCCAACGCCAUCAUAACUUGCGCUAUAUUGGAAGAAAUCACCAAGACACAAAGCAUGAAAUCAAGCUGUUCCAAAAAUGUCUCAAACCGGAUUGAGAAUUCAAGGCGAUUGGCCACCGCAACCGAAUAAUAACAACAACCUUCAAACUACUCGUCCGGCAGACCAAACACAAACAACGCAAUCCACAAAUUCGGACAAAAAAGAAAAUGCAAAAAUCAAAAAACAAUACCAAAAAUGUAAAUAAAUAAAUAAUACGACCGCGGAACAAUAUUGCGGAAGAAACCUCACCGACUGUUCUACGAAAAUCCUAGAUUUAGUAGAAGCAUCCCACACUCCGGAAGAAAAAAAAUAUUUUCCAAAAUAGGAAAAUAUUUUUUUCAGUGUGUUUUGCGCUGUGCGCCAAAUGUAAGUAAAGGUUUGCCCACUACUCGGGUUCUUGUUUGCCCGGCAGACCCUUCUUAUCAGGGCGGCCUAGGUGCUUCUACAGAAUUUCGGAUUUUCGUUUCACAAGAAAAAAAAGUAAACAAACAAAUAAACUAAAUUUACCAAUUUUUAUUCCACCGAUCCCCUUCACUGCAUACUACGCUGCUUCGUUUGUAACUGCUGGCGGACUGGCGGGCGGGUUUCUCCGUACGGCCGGGACAAUAACGGCCUGGUCUGUCUACUGGUAUCCCAGCUGGCUGCUCCGGCAGCGGUCCUUGGCGUUUAGCUAGGGAGGUGAGCUUGGCUCCUUUGUUGGAACCUCCCUAGCGACGUUGGCGACGAAUCGCCGGAUCGUCUACUCGCCGUAAACGAUCCCGGAAGUUACCGCAGUAAACUUCCCAGGGGGAACCUUUGUCCGCCCUGCUUCGUUCUCCUUGGCUAUUAGCUAUAGAGGAGAGCUAGGCUCGUUCGACUUAUCCUCUAUAGCGAGAACGGUCGGU